CGGCUUGUCCCUUCGGUCGGC
rnacentral:siRNA from 1 species